rnacentral:tRNA from 1 species
ACCAAAAGCAAGUUUGGAGACGUACCCUAACGGUGCCGGGGCUUCUCCCGUUU